GCUGAUCGCUAUCUUUUUUUUGCCUCCUCCGGUGGCGUCGCCCCCGGCUUCCUACCCCCUUAUAUGGAGCUACACCAGCCUUUAUGAGAACCUCCAUCAAAGUACCGAAGUUUUUAUGAUGUUCAAUCUCCAUGGUCACCAUCCAAAGGAUGAUGGCUCUAGAAUUGAUUCCAAUAUGAUUUCAUUUGAAAAUUACUGAGCAGCUUUCACCUGAUGGUUUGAGAAAAUAAGAUCGUAGAAACCAGAUUCAACCCCACCAACUUUAACAAAAUUAUGGCUCUUAAAUCCUAGCUCACCAAGAUCAGAGUAUCUAACUCAAUUAACCUUAACUUGCUCAUAAUUACCUGGCUUGGACUCAUCCUCAAUGAUUAAAACCUUGGAUUCAAGCUAUGUAAGGGAUGGAUGUCUAUCCUCGGAAGUAAUACAAUAUGGAGACCUCUUUUGCUUAUCUUUUUUGCUAUCAUAUCCACCUACAUAUGUCUCAACAUAUUGAGCAUCAAUAACCUUCAUCACUUGCCCCUCCAUAUCAACCUCCAA
rnacentral:lncRNA from 1 species